UGAAACAGAGCAAGUAACAUUUAAAUUCCCCUUCUAAGGAAUGAAGGGUUUACGGUGUUUGUUUAUUUCAUUUUAAAGGGAAAUGAGCCGUUGACAAAAUUUCAUAUAUUAUAUAGCCAAACACUGGACAGAUUUCAUAUAAGUGAAAUCCGUGUAAACAGAUGCCCCCUUGAUGUCCGGAGGUGAAAAUUCUUUAUUUUCUUGGAUUCAGAGCUCGGAAAAAUGAGUGUACGUUCUCUUAUGAUUUCUUUGACUAGUUUUCACAUGGCUCGACUUCACGACUUAUUUCUGUAAUA
rnacentral:lncRNA from 1 species